CCAAACUUGGUCAUUUAGAGGAAGUAAAAGUCGUAACAAGGUUUCCGUAGGUGAACCUGCGGAAGGAUCAUUAUUGAAAGUAUUCAGGCAGUUGCUGCUGGCCUCUUACGGGGCAUGUGCACACUGUCAGAAUUUUUCUAUAUCCACCUGUGCACUUUUUGUAGAAGUUCUUUAGAUUGGCUUAUAGGUUUCGACCUUGCGAGUUGAUUCAAAAGGCUUCUAUGUUUUACAAACUAGUUAAGCAUGUUUAGAAUGUCUUUUAUCGGGACUUAAUUGACCCUUUAAACUAUACAACUUUCAGCAACGGAUCUCUUGGCUCUCCCAUCGAUGAAGAACGCAGC
rnacentral:misc_RNA from 1 species